rnacentral:rRNA from 1 species
CAGUAGCCACGUAAUACGGAGGGUGCAAGCGUUAAUCGGAAUUACUGGGCGUAAAGCGCACGCAGGCGGUCUGACAAGUCAGAUGUGAAAUCCCCGGGCUUAACCUGGGAACUGCAUUUGAAACUGUCAGGCUGGAGUCUUGUAGAGGGGGGUGGAAUUCCAGGUGUAGCGGUGAAAUGCGUAGAGAUCUGGAGGAAUACCGGUGGCGAAGGCGGCCCCCUGGACAAAGACUGACGCUCAGGUGCGAAAGCGUGGGGAGCAAACAGGAUUAGAUACCCCUGUAGUCCCUGUCUCUUAUACA